UUCCGUCGAGCCACACGGGACUGCGCAUGCGUCAAGGCUGGUCGUCAACAUGCCACGACGGUGAAGUUGCAAAGGGCAGGAGGCAGAAGACAUAUUAUAAAACUUGCAUUUCAACUCUUCGCACCCUGGAUUUGCCUACAGUAGUAUUUGUUUUAAGAAUAUGACUGGCACCAUAAUUUUCAAGCUUGAAGAAGCCAUCUAAUACAUACAGGAGGUAGGUUUAACAUUUGUUGUGGUUCAUUUCUCUAGCAUCAGAUGUGAUUUGAUUCCAGGUGACCGCAUGUUGAAUAAUUUUACUACCUCGUACUCAUUUUUAUUUCCUGUUAUGUGACUCUUUUAAUUUGGCAAAGUAAAACUAUAAACUUUCCUUUCAAAAUGCAAGCCUACCCACUGAAUGUGAAACUAGUGAGAUGCUCCUUAAUGGUAUUGUGUAAUGAAACAUCACAAGGUGCAGUCCAAAUCUGGCAAAGGAUGCUUACAAAUAUUGAUUUAGUAGAAUGAGAGAUCGGUUACAGUUUUCUGAGAUGGUGAGUGACUCCUUAAAAGCUGACUGCAAAGAUGCCAGUAGGUGGCAGACUAUACUAAGGUAAAUUUGGAAAGAGGUCACACAAACAAGACAUUCGGCGAUUUACAUACUUUAUAGAAAGCAUUUAAACUAUAAAAAUAUCAAAGCUAAUUAUUCCAUAUCUAAAAUGCUUCAAUCAAAUAAUAAUACAAAAACAUUUAAUAAGAUCAGGUAAAACUCUUGAAACAAAAAGCUACAGUAACUUCCCUGAAAUCAUCUAAAAUGUGACAUUUUUCUGUUAAGGCGAAUAGCAAAACGUGGGCUUGUUUAAGUGGAAAACCAUUUGGGAAACCAUGUGAUGUUUCUUAGCAGUGUUUAUAUUCUGACUUUAUUCACUGUCUGGUUGCUAAAUACACUAAAUGACUGAGUCAUGUCUGCCCAAAACUGAACUUGUACACAGACACCACCGCUAUGAAUAGACAAAGACAUAAUUUGCAUUGCCUAAUACCCUUAUAUAUUUACUUCUUAUUUUAUGUUGAUAUAAAAAUAUGAAACAAACUGAAGAACACACUGAAACUGAGUCUAGUGUCAGCUAUAGUGUGUGUGCAUUUUUUUAAAAUAGAAAUCCCAAAUUGUGUUUAUAGUGGUGGAAAUGAGUUGGAGGAGGAAAAUGAAGACAGGGUUGGGUUUCUUUCUCAAAGGCAAAUACUGUAUUUUAGGGACAUAAUUACUGUUUGAAUACAAUGAACUAUCAAACUGCUGCUGCAAUUGUCUAGCCAACAGUCUAUUUGGGUGAAGAAUAAGGUCUUCUUAGACUGUAAUUAUAUUCUGUAAGUUUGUUCUGGUCUGCAGUUCUCUCUGCAUGUUAUUUCCUCACGCCGGGCUAAAAACUUACUCUAAGUGAUCAAAUACCCUUUUUUUCUCAUUAAAUCCUACAGGUCAAAAUUAUAUGUUUACCACAAAAAUAAUGAACAGUCCCUUGGAAAUGUCCUUGUGACAGGUAGUCAUACAUCACUGGCUGGAGUGCAAUUUAUGCACCUUUAGCAGCAAAGAGAAUGCUUGUUUUUGUAUUGAUUUUUACUGUAGGCUGUUGCUGCAGCAUAUUUUAUUUGAGCUUAACCUGGCAAAUAACUCCAAGCUCAAAGUCAGCCAGCAGCUGAGUGUUGGCAGCACAAGGAUUCUCAGAUGGAGUUACAUAAAAAAAAAACAACUAUUUAAAGAAACAUAUUAGGGAGUAGUUGCUUUAAUGGAACAUUUUUGGAUGUAAUUUCUUUUUCCAAAUAACUGAAAGUUAUUUCAGUUUGAAGAAGAAAGCCCAGUGUGAAUAAAUGUUGUAAUAAAACUUUAUUGUCUCUAAGAAAGAAACUUUAGCCAUGUUGACCAAGCCAACGCUAAAAGAGAGAAUUACCAUGCUUGCGUUGAAAGCUACUGCAAUUUUGCUAACAGUUAAUUUUUGAGCUUCUUUCUGGUGUGUGCAGAUUUUAAAAUUCUCAUGCGUUUGUUUUUUUUGAAGCGACUCAAUUACACACUCUUAAUUACUUAACUAGCUAAAAGUAACUUUCAAUCACUGCCUCAUCUUGUGGUACAUAGUGGUAUUACAGCUCUUCAGCACAGCACAUUAUAAAGCCGUAACAGUUGUUUCUUCAUCUUAUGCUGGUAGCUUUAGUUAUUUCCUUUUACGUGUUAAUGUUCUGUGAUAUUAAAGAAAAUACAGCUGAGGCUGGUGUGAAUAUCACUUGUAGUGCAAGUAUUUUAUCUUAAACCAAGUAUUGUCCAAACAUGCAAUAAUGGUGCAGUUUAUUUAGUUCUUUCCAAAAUCAUAAUGAUUCAUUCACUGCAGAUCAUGAACAGAACAGAACUUGAAUAGAUUUAUCAUUUGAUCUGCUUCAUUUCUCCAGCAUCAGAUUUGUUAGGCUUCAUCUGAUUCUUAGCACAAAUUUAAUAACAUCACUGCCACUUGUUGCUUCCAUUUAUUGUAAUUUAAAUUUGGUUGUUAAAGUCGGUAAAGUAAAAAUGGAACCAUUAAAAAAGCCAGUUUUUUAUUUCAAAAGCUACCCAUGUGUCUUGAAGUAAUAAGUGUGAUCCACAUGCUAUAUUUAGGAAUGUUCAUGCUCAUAUAUUUGAAUUCGUUUAAUUAACAUAUUCAAAGAGAGUAAAGAGACCUUUACCAGGCAUCUAUUUCUCCUUGGAAUCGUACUUACAUUAUCAUGCUAUUCGGCUUCAGUCCCUUCAUGAAGGGGUUUGAAUAGUCUUAACUUUCUUGUUUAUGCACCAGAAAUGCAAUCAUCUUUUACCAAAAUCAUUCAUAUAUGACUCGACAAAGCCCUAGAUGGGGUCAUUUAAUUUUAGGAGAUAGUUUUUUAGCGAGUGCAAGCAGAGGAUCUAGUGGGUAAACAGCCAUGGCUUCAUCAUGCCACUUGCGUGCUGGAGUGUGAAGACUUUAACAGCCUGUAGGACAGCAUGUCAAACACUGUGGUCAGUUUAUUGGGCUUCUGGCGACGCAGGGCAGCCCAGGAUGUCUGCCUAUGACUUGUUUUCCCCACAGCUGCUUGCAGUGACAGCAUCGAGCUUAAAGCAAACUAUUUCUGUCUCUGAGUGCAAUUAUCACCACCUGGUAAUUUUGACAGUGUUGACUGCUUCUGCUUUACAAAGCCUCUAAUUGUUAAUGCCGUCCUUGUGAAACUGGUGCUCCUCAUGCCGUGUCUCCAAUUUAAUCAAAGGGAGAUGAUAGGGGGAGGGGAAGCCUGUUUUCCAUUAAUUUCAUACUAUAUUUAACCAGAAAAUUUAACAUUAGCAGUAAGAGUCCUUGUCCUGUCAUUACAUAGAAAUUUGCUGUGGCAGAAAUCUCUUUUAAUUCAGAAGUUCAAUCUGUGCAUAUAACAAAUUUUUGUGCAGAUUUGACUAUGUGAUGAGCGAUAAUCUAAUUGAAAAGCAAUACUGGCUCUUGGAUUUAAGCUUUAAGAAACAAUAUUAAAUGGUUGUACAACAGAUGGGUUUUUUUAGACCAACAGGUGACAGAUGAUUCACGAAAUCAUGGAGUGUGUAUAAUGUGACGUGAGGACAAGACAGCCUCCACUGAAUCCGCCUCCAAAUUUGUCUUCAUGCAUAUAGGCUACACUGUUUAGACCAAUCUCUGUUCACGCUGAUCAUGAAGUGCUGGAAGCACUGAUGUGUGGCAGUAUAGACUAAGUGUGACAAGCUGGACGUAUGGUGCAUUCCUCUCUGUCUCAUUUCACCGCUGUCAUCCAUCACGCUGCCAGAGUCCUGCCUGCUGUCGUCGAUGAUUGAUGGGACUUGCUGAUCCCAUCUUCUGCAUUCCCUUAAUGUCCCUCAUGCCCUGAUUGUUGGGAGCUAAUUUUGACAGGAGGCUAUAAGAUUAUGUUGCACACUCUAUACUGAAAGUACUCUACAUGUAUUUUUUUACUGUUAUGAAAAACACAUUUUCUAUGUAAGUAAAGUUUAUUUAUAAAGCACUUUUCACAGGUAUGAAUGAAAAUAAUAAAAACUAAGAGAAAUUACAAUAAAAUGCAGUACAAAAUUGAAUUACAGUUUAUAGCUUUUAUAACAAAAUUA